AGUGAACGCUGGCGGUAGGCCUAACACAUGCAAGUCGAACGGCAGCACAGUAAGAGCUUGCUCUUACGGGUGGCGAGUGGCGGACCGGUGAGGAAUACAUCGGAAUCUACUUUUUCGUGGGGGAUAACGUAGGGAAACUUACGCUAAUACCGCAUACGACCUACGGGUGAAAGCAGGGGAUCUUCGGACCUUGCGCGAUUGAAUGAGCCGAUGUCGGAUUAGCUAGUUGGCGGGGUAAAGGCCACCAAGGCGACGAUCCGUAGCUGGUCUGAGAGGAUGAUCAGCCACACUGGAACUGAGACACGGUCCAGACUCCUACGGGAGGCAGCAGUGGGGAAUAUUGGACAAUGGGCGCAAGCCUGAUCCAGCCAUACCGCGUGGGUGAAGAAGGCCUUCGGGUUGUAAAGCCCUUUUGUUGGGAAAGAAAAGCAGCAGGUUAAUACCCCGCUGUUCUGACGGUACCCAAAGAAUAAGCACCGGCUAACUUCGUG
rnacentral:rRNA from 1 species